UAUUGCACAAUGGGGGGAACCCUGAUGCAGCGACGCCGCGUGGGUGAAGGAGCGUUUCGGCGCGUAAAGCCCUAUCGGCAGGGAAGAAGGAGGACGGUACCUGACUAAGAAGCACCGGCUAACUACGUGCCAGCAGCCGCGGUAAUACGUAGGGGGCAAGCGUUAUCCGGAUUUACUGGGUGUAAAGGGAGCGUAGGCGGUUUAGCAAGUCAGAAGUGAAAGCCCGGGGCUCAACUCCGGGACUGCUUUUGAAACUGUUGAACUAGAUUGCAGGAGAGGUAAGUGGAAUUCCUAGUGUAGCGGUGAAAUGCGUAGAUAUUAGGAGGAACACCAGUGGCGAAGGCGGCUUACUGGACUGUAAAUGACGCUGAGGCUCGAAAGCGUGGGGAGCAAACAGG
rnacentral:rRNA from 1 species